rnacentral:rRNA from 1 species
GCUCAGAUUGAACGCUGGCGGCAGGCCUAACACAUGCAAGUCGAGCGGAUGAGAAGAGCUUGCUCUUCGAUUCAGCGGCGGACGGGUGAGUAAUGCCUAGGAAUCUGCCUGGUAGUGGGGGACAACGUUUCGAAAGGAACGCUAAUACCGCAUACGUCCUACGGGAGAAAGCAGGGGACCUUCGGGCCUUGCGCUAUCAGAUGAGCCUAGGUCGGAUUAGCUAGUUGGUGGGGUAAUGGCUCACCAAGGCGACGAUCCGUAACUGGUCUGAGAGGAUGAUCAGUCACACUGGAACUGAGACACGGUCCAGACUCCUACGGGAGGCAGCAGUGGGGAAUAUUGGACAAUGGGCGAAAGCCUGAUCCAGCCAUGCCGCGUGUGUGAAGAAGGUCUUCGGAUUGUAAAGCACUUUAAGUUGGGAGGAAGGGCAUUAACCUAAUACGUUAGUGUUUUGACGUUACCGACAGAAUAAGCACCGGCUAACUCUGUGCCAGC